AAUACGCCAUCUUUUCUUCUCUUUCCUGCACCCAGUCCGGUGUGGAUGCUAGCUAAAGCUGGAUUUACUGAGAAAACAAACCAUAAAAGAGGUAUUUGAUGUUAAAGUUAAUUGCAGAAGUUACAGAAGUAGGCAGAAAUCAUCAGACGUCUUUGAACACACAGAAAUCGAUAUUCCGCUGUUUUUUUGUUUUGAGGAUUCUCUUCAGCGGGACUUGGAUCUUCCUGCAUCUGCCACUGUGUGUUGAUGUCCACCCAUCGUGCUGGGAUCGGCCAUCACCUCGGACCAUCUCAUUCAUUAUCACGGGGCGAUAUUAUCCACUUGUCAGCAGAGAGGAGGAACAAAGAAGGUGUGGAAAAGCGAGACCAGACAUCAGAGCUCCUGACCUGGAUGUUGUUGGAGAUGUCUUCUGUGAGGGCCACGUGCAGAACGACCAGCGGCU